UAGAGAGCCAUGACGUCAGUGCAGUCGAAGAUCCAAAGCGAGUAGACGUGCAUGUAGCCUGUCACCAGCCACGGCAUGCAGAAGAGGCAGCACCGGGUGGAGAGAGGGAAAGGGAGUGGUGAGCUGGGGGAAUGAGUUAUUUGAGAACGGCCUUCUGGCUGGUGAGAAGCAAUGACAGAAGAGGGAGUGUGAUGAAUACCCAGCAUCACGACUCUCAAGGGAGGUUAUCC